AGCCUGCUGGUGCACAUGAAGGUGAAGGCAUUUCCUUGAAUAAAACGUGUAGUUUGUCUGGAGAAAUAUUUCUUUUUUUCGGAAUAAUUUAUUUGAAGUAAUUUUGGGGGCCAUUGUCUGGUUCUAUGGUAAAAUUAUUAGGUGGCUUUGUUUUUUCUUUAUUUUUUCCGCUCCUUUGUGAGAUAGACAGAAGAUCACAUGUUACAAUUAAAAUGAA
rnacentral:misc_RNA from 1 species